ACAUCAUUCGACCGCAUAUGGUUGAAUGUAUGAAAUAUAAACUUCCUUUGACCCCGUAACGACUGAGUUCGAAAGAACGAGAUAGGAUAGUUGUCAUAAUCAUGACAAAUUUUACUUCCUAUAAUAUGCCGAGCCCCUUCGAAGAAGGGUGAAGAUAUAGUCUAUAUCUGUAGAAAUACAUGA
rnacentral:autocatalytically_spliced_intron from 1 species